UACGUAGGUCGCAAGCGUUGUCCGGAUUUACUGGGCGUAAAGAGCGCGCAGGCGGCUGGUCAAGUCCGAUGUGAAAUCUCCCGGCUCAACUGGGAAACUGCAUCGGAAACUGAUCGGCUUGAAGGUGGGAGAGGGUAGUGGAAUUCCCGGUGUAGUGGUGAAAUGCGUAGAGAUCCGGAGGAACACCAGUGGCGAAGGCGACACGCUGGGCCGUACCUGACGCUAAAGCGCGACAGCAUGGGGAGCAAACGGG
rnacentral:rRNA from 1 species